rnacentral:rRNA from 1 species
AGUGAACGCUGGCGGUAGGCCUAACACAUGCAAGUCGAACGGCAGCACAGUAAGAGCUUGCUCUUACGGGUGGCGAGUGGCGGACGGGUGAGGAAUACAUCGGAAUCUACUUUUUCGUGGGGGAUAACGUAGGGAGACUUACGCUAAUACCGCAUACGACCUACGGGUGAAAGCAGGGGAUCUUCGGACCUUGCGCGAUUGAAUGAGCCGAUGUCGGAUUAGCUAGUUGGCGGGGUAAAGGCCCACCAAGGCGACGAUCCGUAGCUGGUCUGAGAGGAUGAUCAGCCACACUGGAACUGAGACACGGUCCAGACUCCUACGGGAGGCAGCAGUGGGGAAUAUUGGACAAUGGGCGCAAGCCUGAUCCAGCCAUACCGCGUGGGUGAAGAAGGCCUUCGGGUUGUAAAGCCCUUUUGUUGGGAAAGAAGAGCAGCAGGUUAAUACCCCGCUGUUCUGACGGUACCCAAAGAAUAAGCACCGGCUAACUUCGUG